rnacentral:rRNA from 1 species
ACGGCCACGGUAUCCUAACCGUGCAAAGGUAGCAUAAUCACUUGUUCUUUAAAUGGGGACUCGUAUCAACGGCACCACGAGGGUUGUACUGUCUCCUUUUUCUAAUCAGUGAAAUUAAUCUCCCCGUGAAGAAGCGGGGAUACUCCUAUAAGACGAGAAGACCCCAUGGAGCUUCAAACCCAACUACACCCCUAAUUUCUAUAACCCUCAACCCCCCAGGGCCCUGGAUAGUUGGUUUUAGGUUGGGGCGACCACGGAGUACAACAAAACCUCCACAAUGAAUGGGACCACCCCC